rnacentral:rRNA from 1 species
GAUGAACGCUGGCGGCGUGCUUAACACAUGCAAGUCGAACGAUGAAGCCGGAGCUUGCUCUGGUGGAUUAGUGGUGAACGGGUGAGUAACACGUGAGUAACCUGCCCUUGACUCUGGGAUAAGCGCUGGAAACGGCGUCUAAUACCGGAUACGAGCUUCCACCGCAUGGUGAGUUGCUGGAAAGAAUUUCGGUCAAGGAUGGACUCGCGGCCUAUAAGCUUGUUUGUGAGGUAACGGCUCACCAAGGCAACGACGGGUAGCCGGCCUGUGAGGUGGACUGGCCACGCUGGGACUGGGACACGGACCAGACUGCUACGGAAGGCAGCAGUGGGGAAUAUUGCACAAUGGGCGCAAGCAUGAUGCAGCAACGCCGCGUGAGGGACGAAGGUCUUCGGGUCGUAAACCUCUUUUAGCAGGGAAGAAGCGAAAGUGACGGUACCUGCAGAAAAAGCACCGGCUAACUACGUGCCAGCAGCCGCCGUAA